rnacentral:rRNA from 1 species
GGAUGAACGCUGGCGGCGUGCCUAAUACAUGCAAGUCGAGCGAACAGAUAAGGAGCUUGCUCCUUUGACGUUAGCGGCGGACGGGUGAGUAACACGUGGGUAACCUACCUAUAAGACUGGGAUAACUUCGGGAAACCGGAGCUAAUACCGGAUAAUAUUUCGAACCGCAUGGUUCGAUAGUGAAAGAUGGUUUUGCUAUCACUUAUAGAUGGACCCGCGCCGUAUUAGCUAGUUGGUAAGGUAACGGCUUACCAAGGCGACGUUACGUAGCCGACCUGAGAGGGUGAUCGGCCACACUGGAACUGAGACACGGUCCAGACUCCUACGGGAGGCAGCAGUAGGGAAUCUUCCGCAAUGGGCGAAAGCCUGACGGAGCAACGCCGCGUGAGUGAUGAAGGUCUUCGGAUCGUAAAACUCUGUUAUUAGGGAAGAACAUACGUGUAAGUAACUAUGCACGUCUUGACGGUACCUAAUCAGAAAGCCACGGCUAACUACGUGCCAGCAGCCGCGGUAAUACGUAGGUGGCAAGCGUUAUCCGGAAUUAUUGGGCGUAAAGCGCGCGUAGGCGGUUUUUUAAGUCUGAUGUGAAAGCCCACGGCUCAACCGUGGGGGGUCAUUGGAAACUGGAAAACUUGAGUGCAGAAGAGGAAAGUGGAAUUCCAUGUGUAGCGGUGAAAUGCGCAGAGAUAUGGAGGAACACCAGUGGCGAAGGCGACUUCUGGUCUGUAACUGACGCUGAUGUGCGAAAGCGUGGGGAUCAAACAGGAUUAGAUACCCUGGUAGUCCACGCCGUAAACGAUGAGUGCUAAGUGUUAGGGGGUUUCCGCCCCUUAGUGCUGCAGCUAACGCAUUAAGCACUCCGCCUGGGGAGUACGACCGCAAGGUUGAAACUCAAAGGAAUUGACGGGGACCCGCACAAGCGGUGGAGCAUGUGGUUUAAUUCGAAGCAACGCGAAGAACCUUACCAAAUCUUGACAUCCUUUGACAACUCUAGAGAUAGAGCCUUCCCCUUCGGGGGACAAAGUGACAGGUGGUGCAUGGUUGUCGUCAGCUCGUGUCGUGAGAUGUUGGGUUAAGUCCCGCAACGAGCGCAACCCUUAAGCUUAGUUGCCAUCAUUAAGUUGGGCACUCUAAGUUGACUGCCGGUGACAAACCGGAGGAAGGUGGGGAUGACGUCAAAUCAUCAUGCCCCUUAUGAUUUGGGCUGCACACGUGCUACAAUGGACAAUACAAAGGGCAGCGAAACCGCGAGGUCAAGCAAAUCCCAUAAAGUUGUUCUCAGUUCGGAUUGUAGUCUGCAACUCGACUACAUGAAGCUGGAAUCGCUAGUAAUCGUAGAUCAGCAUGCUACGGUGAAUACGUUCCCGGGUCUUG